GAUCACUCGGUUGUCUGACACAC
rnacentral:miRNA from 1 species